rnacentral:lncRNA from 10 species
GCUGUCUUCUGGUUGCCUUCAUUUUCUUGGUGAAUUAGGACCCCGACAGAGGCAAGAGAGGAGGUGGUGCAGGUUUGAAGAUCCAGGGAGAAGUUGUGAAAUUUGCAUAAUCUCAGAGAGCGGGGAGUGAAAGGAACAGAAAGACACAGAGAUUGGAGUGAUGCAGCCACAGGCCCGGAGCACCAAGGAUUGUUGGCAGCCACCAGAAGCUAGAAGGAGGCACAGGAGGACCCUCCCUGAGAGGCUUCAGAGAGAGCGUGGCCUUGCUGACUCCUGGAUUGUGGACUUCCAGCCUCCAGAACUGAGAGAAUUGAUUUCUGUUGUUUGAA